AUACGGAGGGUGCAAGCGUUGUUCGGAAUCACUGGGCGUAAAGGGCGCGCAGGCGGUUUGGUAAGUCAGAUGUGAAAGCCCACGGCUCAACCGUGGAAGUGCAUUUGAAACUGCCAGACUCGAGUACCAGAGGGGAAAGUGGAAUUCCCGGUGUAGAGGUGAAAUUCGUAGAUAUCGGGAGGAAUACCGGUGGCGAAGGCGACUUUCUGGCUGGAUACUGACGCUGCGGCGCGAAAGCGUGGGGAGCAAACAGGAUUAGAAACCCUAGUAGUCC
rnacentral:rRNA from 1 species